GACGAACGCUGUUUGCGUGCUUAACACAUGCAAGUCGAACGGAAAGGCCCUGCUUUUGUGGGGUGCUCGAGUGGCGAACGGGUGAGUAACACGUGAGUAACCUGCCCUUGACUUUGGGAUAACUUCAGGAAACUGGGGCUAAUACCGGAUAGGAGCUCCUGCUGCAUGGUGGGGGUUGGAAAGUUUCGGCGGUUGGGGAUGGACUCGCGGCUUAUCAGCUUGUUGGUGGGGUAGUGGCUUACCAAGGCUUUGACGGGUAGCCGGCCUGAGAGGGUGACCGGCCACAUUGGGACUGAGAUACGGCCCAGACUCCUACGGGAGGCAGCAGUGGGGAAUAUUGCACAAUGGGCGGAAGCCUGAUGCAGCAACGCCGCGUGCGGGAUGACGGCCUUCGGGUUGUAAACCGCUUUCGCCUGUGACGAAGCGUGAGUGACGGUAAUGGGUAAAGAAGCACCGGCUAACUACGUGCCAGCAGCCGCGGUGAUACGUAGGGUGCGAGCGUUGUCCGGAUUUAUUGGGCGUAAAGGGCUCGUAGGUGGUUGAUCGCGUCGGAAGUGUAAUCUUGGGGCUUAACCCUGAGCGUGCUUUCGAUACGGGUUGACUUGGGGAAGGUAGGGGAGAAUGGAAUUCCUGGUGGAGCGGUGGAAUGCGCAGAUAUCAGGAGGAACACCAGUGGCGAAGGCGGUUCUCUGGGCCUUUCCUGACGCUGAGGAGCGAAAGCGUGGGGAGCGAACAGGCUUAGAUACCCUGGUAGUCCACGCUGUAAACGGUGGGUACUAGGUGUGGGGUCCAUUCCACGGGUUCCGUGCCGUAGCUAACGCUUUAAGUACCCCGCCUGGGGAGUACGGCCGCAAGGCUAAAACUCAAAGGAAUUGACGGGGCCCCGCACAAGCGGCGGAGCAUGCGGAUUAAUUCGAUGCAACGCGUAGAACCUUACCUGGGUUUGACAUGGAUCGGGAGUGCUCAGAGAUGGGUGUGCCUCUUUUGGGGUCGGUUCACAGGUGGUGCAUGGCUGUCGUCAGCUCGUGUCGUGAGAUGUCGGGUUAAGUCCCGCAACGAGCGCAACCCUUGUUCACUGUUGCCAGCACGUUAUGGUGGGGACUCAGUGGAGACCGCCGGGGUCAACUCGGAGGAAGGUGGGGAUGACGUCAAGUCAUCAUGCCCCUUAUGUCCAGGGCUUCACGCAUGCUACAAUGGCUGGUACAGAGAGUGGCGAGCCUGUGAGGGUGAGCGAAUCUCGGAAAGCCGGUCUCAGUUCGGAUUGGGGUCUGCAACUCGACCUCAUGAAGUCGGAGUCGCUAGUAAUCGCAGAUCAGCAACGCUGCGGUGAAUACGUUCCCGGG
rnacentral:rRNA from 1 species